GUGUUUGCUUUGCCAGCACAUAUAUUAAAAUUGAAACAAUACAGAGAAGAUUAGCAUGGCCCCUGCGUAAGGAUGACCGGCAAGUUCGUGAAGCAUUCCAUAUUUUU
ensembl:snRNA U6 U6 spliceosomal RNA